UACGAAGGGGGCUAGCGUUGCUCGGAAUCACUGGGCGUAAAGCGCACGUAGGCGGGUCUUUAAGUCAGGGGUGAAAUCCUGGAGCUCAACUCCAGAACUGCCUUUGAUACUGGAGACCUAGAGUUCGGGAGAGGAGAGUGGAACUGCGAGUGUAGAGGUGAAAUUCGUAGAAAUUCGCAAGAACACCAGUGGCGAAGGCGG
rnacentral:rRNA from 1 species